UACUCGAGCCGAGGUGGUGCAACUACCCGAGCAUACGGGUCGGUCACUUGGAUCGAAGCAAGCAUCGUGAACGGCAGCAUUGUGCAGCACUUGAAAUCAAUACGCUACAAUUUGGCGCAGCCGAAAAGGAUCAGGAUGAGUGGAAGUGAGAUGUACCGAAUGCCGUUAGGUGCGUUCGACGAUAAAGUUGAUUCCCAAGAUUUGCGUCGUGAAUGGGAGGAGUGGCAUCGGGCCUUUGAGCUUUGUCUCCAGGUACGUAACAUCGACUCCCAACACGAAAAGUUCGUUACAAUGCUGUCAGUCGGAGGAAGGGGACUACAGCGUAUUUUCUUCAACUUGCGACCAGUCCCGGGGGAAGUUACACCAGAGCUAGUAAGAAUCCCUCUAAUGCCCUUGGAGAUACCGGAAUAUGACAACGCCGUUAAACGCUUGGAAAAAUUCUUUGUCGGCAAGCGGAAUGAGAGAGUGGAACUUGAAGUUUUCCGGUCGAUCAAGCAAACAACUGAGGAACCAUAAUGGAACCAUUCAACAACUUCAUACUCCGACUUCGCUCUCAAGCCGCAAGAUGUGAGUUUGCCGACCGCGAGGAGACCGAGAUCCUUCAACAAAUCACUAUGGGAGCUAAAGAUGAGAAAGUCAGGGACAAGGGGUUGGAAAACUCUAUGAACUUGGACGAGGUUAUAAACUACGUUAUAAACCGUGAAAUUUUAGUGAAACAAAGAGAGAAACUCAAACCAUUUCGAAAUGAGCCGGAUCUGAACAGCGUACAUUCGAGACAACUCCGGAACAACAAUAGAAGCCCGAAACGGAACUCGAAGGUGUAUCCACGAUUUGUGAAACGACGUGAUGUGAGACGUGCAGAAUCAGAAGGCAGUUAUCCGAGAAUGCAGUGCGAGCGCUGUGGAUCGUUCCGACAUAAUAAGGAUUUUUUGUGAGUGCUACGCCCGAGGAGCAACAUGCAAUCGCUGUGGGCAAAGAGGACAUUAUGCCAGAAAAUGUACGGGAAAUAGCGCGGAGCAGAGAGCAGGACGUUUUCCCAGACGUGUAGUUGAGUGCCAUACGGAAGAAACAAACUCGUUGGAACCCUCGGAAAUGGAACAUGGACAUGGAAGGAAGAAUUGCCUCAUCGCCCGACUUCUGAUGAUGUGGCUAAGGUGGAUUCUCGAGCUGAAACUCUUAAUGAUGGAUCAGUAUUAUGUCGGAUUGAUAAUGUCCCGAUAGAAUUCCUUGUUGACUCUGGAGCCUCAAUAAAUGACGUGACGGAGAAUGUGCGGAAGGAGAUAAGGUUGAGCAAUGCGAGAAUUUUCAAAAAGAAAUACAACUGUGGUCGACGAUUUCAUGCCUUCGCUAGUAAUAAACCACUAGAGGUUUCGGCUGUAUUUGAAGCCUGGAUAUCGGUAAACCCAUCCAAACUUACGACAUAUGCGGAAUUUUUCGUUGUCAAGGAAGCAUGUAAAUGCCUUUUGAGUAAAAGGACAUCUGAGGAACUGCGCGUUCUCAAAGUUGGGCUUGACGUUCUUCACGUGGAAUCAGGUUUCGAACCAUUUCCAAAGCGAACAUGGUACUAGCCCGUCAGAGGAAAAAGUAGCAGCGGUG